rnacentral:rRNA from 1 species
UCUUUGGUUGUUGGGUGGAUUAGUGGCGAACGGGUGAGUAAUACGUGGGUAACCUGCCCUCCUUUUUGGGAUAAGCCUUGGAAACGGGGUCUAAUACCGAAUAUUCUGGCYCUCUCGCAUGGWKGKGUUGGGAAAGCUUUUGUGUGAAGGGGGAUGGGCUCGCGGCCUAUCAGCUUGUUGGUGGGGUGAUGGCCUACCAAGGCGGKGACGGGUAGCCGGCCUGAGAGGGUGACCGGCCACAUUGGGACUGAGAUACGGCCCAGACUCCUACGGGAGGCAGCAGUGGGGGAUAUUGCACAAUGGGCGAAAGCCUGAUGCAGCGACGCCGCGUGGGGGAUGAAGGCUUUCGGGUUGUAAACCUCUUUCGCUAUCGAACAAGGCCCGYUUAGGGUGGGKUKAGGGKARGUGGARAAGAAGSSCCGG